rnacentral:rRNA from 1 species
UGCAGCCGCGGUAAUUCCAGCUCCAAUAGCGUAUAUUAAAGUUGUUGCAGUUAAAAAGCUCGUAGUUGAAUUUCGAGAUCAAUUUGUUGGUCGCGCCUCGGUACGUACUGGCAAUUUUGAUUUCUCCCUUCUGAAGAACCAUGAUGUCAUUAAUUUGGUGUCAUGGGGAAUCAGGACCGUUACUUUGAAAAAAUUAGAGUGUUUAAAGCAGGCUCGCGCUUGAAUACAUUAGCAUGGAAUAAUGAAAUAGGACGUUUGAUUCUAUUUUGUUGGUUUCUAGGAUCGACGUAAUGAUUAAUAGGGAUAGUUGGGGGCAUUAGUAUUCAAUUGUCAGAGGUGAAAUUCUUGGAUUUAUUGAAGACUAACUACUGCGAAAGCAUUUGCCAAGGAUGUUUUCAUUAAUCAAGAACGAAAGUUAGGGGAUCGAAGACGAUCAGAUACCGUCGUAGUCUUAACCAUAAACUAUGCCGACUAGGGAUCGGAUGAUGUUAAUUUUUUAAU